rnacentral:misc_RNA from 1 species
GAUGAAGAACGCAGCGAAAUGCGAUAAGUAGUGUGAAUUGCAGAAUUCAGUGAAUCAUCGAAUCUUUGAACGCACAUUGCGCCCUUUGGUAUUCCUUAGGGCAUGCCUGUUCGAGCGUCAUUUCAACCAUCAAGCUCCUUAGCUUGUGUUGGGGACCUGCGGCUGCCGCAGCCCCCGAAAUGCAGUGGCGGGCUCGUUGUCACACCGAGUGCAGUAAUCAUUCUUCUCUCCGGGCGUGGCGGCGGGUUCCGGCCGUAAAAUCACCAAUUUAUCAAGGUUGACCUCGGAUCAGGUAGGAAUACCCGCUGAACUUAAGCAUAUCAAUAAGCGGAGGA